rnacentral:lncRNA from 1 species
AUGUCCAGCUGGCCGGAGCCGCCCCGCUGACCGCUGUUGCCUCUUUGGCCAUUUCCACUGAGCUUCCUCUGUCCAGAGCUGCCUCGCUGACCACGGCCACAAGCCCGCUGACCACGGCCAUGGUCUGGCUGUCUGGAGCCGCUGCACUGACCGCUGCCACGGUCACUCCUGUUUCCAGAGCUGUGGUCAGUGCUCAGUCUGUGGUCACUGCUGUGUCCUGAGCCGCCCUGCUGACCGUGACCAAUGUCCGUCUGUCCGUAGCAGCCGGGCUGACCGCUGCCUUGGUCAGUGCCGUGUCCAGAGCCAUGGUCAGUGCCGUGGUCACUCUGUUGGUCACUGUGGUCACUCCGGUGGUCACUCGGGCGGUCAGUGCUGUGGUCAGUGCUGCGGUCAGUGCUGCGGUCAGUGCUGCGGUCAGUGCUGUGGUCAGUGCGGUGCCGGGCCAGCGCCGCGCUGCGCUCGAAGCUCUGCCCGCACUCCACGCAGAUGUUGGGGGGCUCCGCGCCCCCCGCCCCCCUCCGCACCGCCGCCGUCUCCUUCCUCUUCCUCCCCGCCCUGCCCCCCCCCCCCACCGCCCCCCUGCCCCUCCCCCCCUCCCCCCCCAUCCCCUCCCCCCACCCCGGCACCGCUUGGGCGACAUCGCCGCCCCCUCCCCCACCCCCGGAUCGGGGGGGAAACGCCCCAAAAUCGGUCCCGGGAACGGGGGGUCCCGAGACCCCCGGGGCCGCCCCCGGCGCUGCCGGAGCCGCCGCGGCCGCUCCGGACAAUGGAGGAGGAGGAGGAGGAGGGGGAGGGGGAGGAGGGGGGAGGGGGAGGAGGGGAGGAGGAGGAGGGGGAGGGGAGGAGGGGAGGAGGCAGCGCUGACCCAGGAAGUUCAACCCCCGGGGGCUGCGGGGGAAAAAAAAAUUAAAAAAAAAUUAAAAAAAAGGGGGGGGGGGGGAGAGACCCCGCCCCCGCCCCUCCCCCACCUCGCCGACCCCCCCCCCACCCGCCCCGGUUCCGGUUUUUUUGGGGGCGGGGUUUGGCGCCGUUCCCAUCCCCCACCCGCGACCCCUCCCCAAAAAUUCCCGAAUUUUCUUUUUUUUUUUUUUGGGAGGGGGUGGGUGGGGGAGGGGCAG